UGGAUCAUCUACCUCUUUGUGGGGGAUAACUCUGGGAAACCGGAGCUAAUACCGCAUAAGUCCGAGAGGAGUAAGCAGCAAUGCGCAGAGAGAGGAGUCCGCGGCCGAUUAGUUAGUUGGCGGGGUAAUGGCCCACCAAGGCGACGAUCAGUAGCUGGUCUGAGAGGAUGACCAGCCACACUGGGACUGAGACACGGCCCAGACCUCCGUACGGGAGCAG
rnacentral:rRNA from 1 species